rnacentral:tRNA from 1 species
CGGGCUGUGGCUCAGCUUGGUAGAGCGCUCGGUUCGGGACCGAGAGGUCGCUGGUUCAAAUCCAGUCAGCCCGACCA